UGAGCAAGGUGGCUCAGAGUUCGUGCCAGU
rnacentral:piRNA from 1 species